rnacentral:rRNA from 1 species
UACGUAGGGUGCGAGCGUUGUCCGGAAUUAUUGGGCGUAAAGAGCUCGUAGGCGGUCUGUCGCGUCGGAUGUGAAAGCCCGGGGCUUAACCCCGGGUCUGCAUUCGAUACGGGCAGACUAGAGUGUGGUAGGGGAGAUCGGAAUUCCUGGUGUAGCGGUGAAAUGCGCAGAUAUCAGGAGGAACACCGAUGGCGAAGGCAGGUCUCUGGGCAUUAACUGACGCUGAGGAGCGAAAGCAUGGGGAGCGAACAGG